rnacentral:misc_RNA from 1 species
UGACAUGAUCGUUCAUGUUGGAGGGAAAAGGACACAUAAGAGAUACCUUUUGCUACGGCAGAGGGUCGAGUUUCCAGGAGACAAACCUAUAAAUCUUGAUGAUCCGUCUCCACAUUCCAAGGUUCCCAAUGAGAUUGGUAAAGUACAUAAUCAGCCACCACCGCACAAAGUGACAGUAGAAGACAACCAGCAAAAUCAUCAUCGG